rnacentral:rRNA from 1 species
UACGAAGGGUGCAAACGUUGCUCGGAAUCAUUGGGCGUAAAGCGCACGUAGGCGGCCCUGCAAGUCGGAUGUGAAAUCCCUCGGCUCAACCGAGGACGUGCACCCGAAACUGCAGGGCUUGAGUACUGAAGAGGAUCGCGGAAUUCCCGGUGUAGAGGUGAAAUUCGUAGAUAUCGGGAGGAACACCAGUGGCGAAGGCGGCGAUCUGGGCAGAUACUGACGCUGAGGUGCGAAAGCGUGGGGAGCAAACAGGAUUAGAAACCCCCGUAGUCC